GGUUUACGGUGUUAAAUUCGUGAGGUGUAGAGAUGCAACAUUAGCCUACAGAAGAGUGAAAGUUUCUAAUGCGGGUUCGAUUUCCUGAAAUAAGAUCCUCUGGUCUCUAUUCCCGCCGAGGCCUGGUUUUACUACGAGUCUGAAGCAGCCACAUUUGGGCGGUUUUCUACUCCGAGGAGAGAAUUCAUCAAAUGAAUUGGCCCAGACGUCUGCAGUGUGCAGUGAAGGAAGCUCCUCUCAUAAGAUUGCAGACCUGGAGUCUGAUGACACCGAGCGAGUGAUGGAGGGAGCAGAAUGAUGAAGAUGAAGCCAGAAUUGUGAGUCUGUGUCAUUUAUGUUAUUCUGUGUACAGUAAAAAUUUUAAACACAAACAAAUAUGAAAAAUUAAAAUUUAACUGGGCAGCCACACAAUAUCUGCUUAUGUUCACACCUGGAAUUUACUAGUUAUUAAUUUAAGAUGUCAAAACACAUAAAGCCCAAAAAUGAAAACUUGUCGUCAUUUCUCACUCUCUGUCAUUCCAAACCUGCAAGACUUUCAUUCAUUUUCAAAACACAAAUGAAGAUAUUUUAAACGAAACCUGAGAGAUUUCUGUCCUUCCAUCGACAGUCUACACAACUACCACUUUGAUGCUUCAAGAAGUUUAUAAAGAGAUCAUAAAAGUAAUCCAAAUCAAUCGAGUGGUUUAGUCACAAUUUUCUGAAGAGACUCAGUCGCUUUAUACAAUGAACAGAUUUUAUUUUUUUAUUUUUUUCACAUUUAAACAUUGAUCAGGGAUCAUAAACAGAAAAUUUGGACUAAACCACAUGAUACGUAUGGAUUAGAUCUCUUUAUCUUUAUGACUACACAAUCAGUUUAGCAGAAUGGUUCCUGAGAGACAUAUUGUCAUUAUUUUUAUUUAUUUAUUCAUUUUUUUCCCCAAGAAGUCAAGUUACUGGCUUUUCCCAAGACCUUCAAGGACACGAUUGACCUUGGAAUCAGCUGCAAAGGAGGAUGAAACCGAUGUUUAAAAAUGGGACGGCGAUCUUGCAUCAAUGUAUCUCCUUCAUUUGAUUCCACCAUCACCACAAGCCUGCAAGGGACCUGGAGAAAUGUCCUCCUAUCAAGCUGAAAAACAUCUUCAAAAAGGCACUAAUAAGAACACCUUGUAGAGACCACACAGCCGUACCUGCUCGCUGAUGGGACAACGAGGAACAGCGUUCAUGGAUGCUACACAACUGUCGACAAGUGUCUUGCUGCAAUCUUGUUCAAAUCUACUGGUCAUAUUUGUUAAUGUCUAGGCUUGCUGGAGCCUUUCAUGGGUCAUAGGCAGGACAAGCCCCUGGACAGAUGUCCAGUCCAUCACAUUCAUCUUCACACUCACUACAGUCUCCAGUUCUCCUGUCCUGUGUGUCUCUGGAUUGUGGGAGAAACCCAGAGAACACCAGCAGCUGCACUCAAUACUGCACACACACCUCAUUACAGACUGAUGAUGGCUUUUUUUUUUUUGUUUUUUUUUUUGUAAUUAUUGCUUCAGAAUUGUAUAUAUAUAUAUUUUUCUCAACUUUUUAUAUUUAUUUUUCACAAGUAAUUUUUGUGUGUCAUUUUUUCACAAGUAACUGCUGAUGGGUUUUUGUUUUUGGUAUAUAAAGAAAUAGCGGCAUCGCAGUGUUAUGAUGAAACAAGCUUAUUUUGAGACAUAUAUGAAGUGUUUUGUUGGUCUGAGUGAGUUUUGGAGGCGAGAUCAACCGUUUGGCCAAGAUUUGUGUUAGUAAUGCAGACUGUAUGAACAGUUUUGAAAAUGUGGCUUCAGUAUUGAACAAUGCUUGUUAGCAAUUGAAAAAAAACUGUAACACCGUGUCUACACAGACAUUAUACACAAGAACUCAUUAUAGUCCAUGAUGAUGUCUACACUCGACGUGGGCGGGGUUUGUAACGUAACGCUUGACGUGGGCGGGGUUUGUAACGUAACGCUUGACGUGGGCGGGGUUGGAUGUCCACCGCAGAA